CGGGGCUUAAUGUCUUGUAAUUGGAAUGAUGGGAAUUUAAACCUCUUCCAGAGUAUCAAUUGGAGGGCAAGUCUGGUGCCAGCAGCCGCGGUAAUUCCAGCUCCAAUAGCGUAUAUUAAAAUUGUUGCAGUUAAAAAGCUCGUAGUUGAAUUUCUGCUGCAUUGCUUUUGCUCCUUUACGAGUCUUUGCAUUGUGGCUUAUUUCGGACUUUGUUUUACAAUGUCCGGAUGUUUACUUUGAGAAAAUUAGAGUGCUCAAAGCAGGCUUUCGCCUUGAAUAGUUUAGCAUGGAAUAAUAAAGUAGGACUUUGGUUCUAUUUUGUUGGUUUUAGGUACCAAAGUAAUGGUUAAUAGGAACAGUUGGGGGCAUUCGUAUUUAACUGUCAGAGGUGAAAUUCUUAGAUUUGUUAAAGACGAACUACUGCGAAAGCAUUUGCCAAGGAUGUUUUCAUUAAUCAAGAAC
rnacentral:rRNA from 1 species